AGAGUUUGAUCCUGGCUCAGAUUGAACGCUGGCGGUAUGCUUUACACAUGCAAGUCGAACGGCAGCACGGGGCAACCUGGUGGCGAGUGGCGAACGGGUGAGUAACAUAUCGGAACAUGUCCGGAAGUGGGGGAUAACGUAGCGAAAGUUACGCUAAUACCGCAUAUGCCCUGAGGGGGAAAGGGGGGGAUCGCAAGACCUCUCGCUUUCGGAGUGGCCGAUAUCGGAUUAGCUAGAUGGUGAGGUAAAGGCUCACCAUGGCGACGAUCCGUAGCUGGUCUGAGAGGACGACCAGCCACACUGGAACUGAGACACGGUCCAGACUCCUACGGGAGGCAGCAGUGGGGAAUUUUGGACAAUGGGGGCAACCCUGAUCCAGCCAUACCGCGUGAGUGAAGAAGGCCUUCGGGUUGUAAAGCUCUUUCAGCCGGAAAGAAAUCGUGCAGGUUAAUAACCUGUAUGGAUGACGGUACCGGAAGAAGAAGCACCGGCUAACUACGUGCCAGCAGCCGCGGUAAUACGUAGGGUGCGAGCGUUAAUCGGAAUUACUGGGCGUAAAGCGUGCGCAGGCGGUUUUGUAAGACAGACGUGAAAUCCCCGGGCUUAACCUGGGAACUGCGUUUGUGACUGCAAGGCUAGAGUGUAGCAGAGGGGGGUAGAAUUCCACGUGUAGCAGUGAAAUGCGUAGAUAUGUGGAGGAAUACCGAUGGCGAAGGCAGCCCCCUGGGCUAACACUGACGCUCAUGCACGAAAGCGUGGGGAGCAAACAGGAUUAGAUACCCUGGUAGUCCACGCCCUAA
rnacentral:rRNA from 1 species